rnacentral:rRNA from 1 species
UCGGCGACCGGCGCACGGGUGAGUAACACGUAUGCAACCUACCUUCAACACGGGGAUAACCCGUUGAAAGACGGACUAAUAUCCGAUAAUACAGGGGCACCGCUUGGUGAUAUUUGUUAAAGAUUAAUCGGUUGAAGAUGGGCAUGCGUAUGAUUAGCUAGUUGGCGGGGUAACGGCCCACCAAGGCAACGAUCAUUAGGGGUUCUGAGAGGAAGGUCCCCCACACUGGUACUGAGACACGGACCAGACUCCUACGGGAGGCAGCAGUGAGGAAUAUUGGUCAAUGGGCGCGAGCCUGAACCAGCCAAGUCGCGUGAAGGAUGACGGUCCUAUGGAUUGUAAACUUCUUUUGUGCAGGAAUAAAGUGAGGAACGUGUUCCUUUUUGUAUGUACUGUACGAAUAAGCAUCGGCUAACUCCGUGCCAGCAGCCGCGGUAA